ACAGAGCUCUGGAGACUCAAAUCCUUUGUUUAUCCACAGAACAGGCAAAGUACAGGAAGUGGCCAGGCAAAUUAUCUUGUUACCAGCUCAGAUAUGUUUAAAUGACGUUCUGGAGAAAUCAACUCUAGGAAGGAAAAGAGACAUUGGUUUCUAUGGCUUACUUGAUAUUUGAGUUCU
rnacentral:sRNA from 1 species